rnacentral:RNase_P_RNA from 1 species
CGAGUUGGCCAGGGCAAUCGCUGCUUGCAUUUGCAAGGGGAGGAAAGUCCGGGCUCCACAGGGCAGAGUGCCAGGUAACGCCUGGGCGGCGUGAGCCGACGACCAGUGCAACAGAGAGCAGACCGCCGAUGGCCCGCUUGCGGGAUCAGGUAAGGGUGAAAGGGUGCGGUAAGAGCGCACCGCGCGACUGGCAACAGUUCGUGGCACGGUAAACUCCACUCGGAGCAAGACCAAAUAGGCCCCCAAUGGUACGGCCCGUACUGGGGGCGGGUAGGUUGCUUGAGGUGCAUGGUGACAUGCAUCCUAGAGGAAUGGUUGCCACCUUGGAAACAAGGCACAGAACCCGGCUUAUUGGCCAACUCACUUC